AAGGUUGUCAAAACCGGACCGGACCGGCCGGUUGAACCGGUUGGACCGUGAACCGGUGAGUAAUCCGGUUCGGUUAUGCCUGAAAACCGGACAAGGAAGGAACCGGGAAAAAAACGUUUGAACCGGCGCGGAACCGGAAAAAACCGGUAAAAACCGGUGAACCGGUCGGGUCAGAUCGUUUAGUGGUUCUGCCGGUUUUUUUCGCCAGAAAAAAACGACGCCGUUUUGAUUUUUUUUUUUUUUAACAUAAAGAAAGAAUUGGAAAAGUUUCACUUGUUUUCUUUCUUAAACUGAUUUUGAGUUUCAGAAGAUGAAGGAGAGAAGGGAAUAUUUCAUGAAAUCUCAAAUCAUAUACUAUUGAAAAUACAAACCAGAGAGUUGAAAGGGAAAAACUAUAAUACUAGUUUGUAUUUGUAGAAGAGCAAGAACAAAAAUUAUGAGAGAUCCAUGUAGACAAUGCUUUGCUGGUUGAGAAAUUGACUUUCAGAUCUAGAGUGAAAUAGGAAGGAGGCGCACAACAUACUGCAAAUAAAAUGGAAUACUAGGGUUUUAAUAUUCCAUUAUAUUUUUUUUAGAAACCAAGGCCCAAGAACCCAUAUAUUUGUCUUUUGUAUGGUCCAAGUCCACACACUAUGUGCAAUGUAAUAGUUAUUUUAUACGUACCAUUCAUUUUCUUUCUAAUAAGAUAGGUUUGAAAAUGCAAGAAAAAAUAAAUAUUAUGUUGAGUAUCCUUUUUGUGUGUGUGUGUGAAGUGUGAACAUAUAGAAUAUAUUUUUUUAUUUAAUUGAACCA
rnacentral:lncRNA from 1 species